AAAACAUAGCCCUAAGAAAUGAUUUAGGGUAAGCCCUGCCCAGUGAUAUACUGUUCAACGGCCGCAGUACCCUGACUGUGCUAAGGUAGCGUAAUCAGUUGGCUUUUAAUUGGAGUCGAGAAUGAACGGGUCAAUGGGGAAAAGCUGUCUCAUAUUUGUAUAUUGAAUUUACUAAGAAGAUGAAAAUUUCUUCAGAAAAGACAAAAGACGAGAAGACCCUUAGAGUUUUUAAUAAAAUAAAUGUUAUGAUUUAUACUUUUUUGUUGGGGCGACAUAGAGACACAUAGUAAACUCUCUUUUAUUUUGUUUUUACUUGCCGGCGUUUUGCAAGUGUGAAUAAACUACCUUAGGGAUAACAGCAUUAUUUUUUAUAAAGCUUGUGACCUCGAUGUUGGACUAGGGACUAAAUGACUAGCCGUCAAAUUAGCAUGUUCUGUUCGAACAUAAAACCCUACAUGAUCUGAGU
rnacentral:rRNA from 1 species